rnacentral:lncRNA from 1 species
GCCAGUAGAACUUAUUGGUUGAAGUCCAAGUCUUAAAUUAUUGCUAUAAAUAAAUUAUUAAAAUUAUAUUUUCUCACUCAAGUUUCUAUGGCCAGAGCGGGGCCUCCCCACCCGUACAAUACACACACAGAGAUAGAGAUAGAGAGAUAGGGGGAUGGUUGCCCAACUGGACCUUUAGAUUGGGGUAGCUUGUGAAGUCAUGGAAAAAUUAUUAGUUGAAUCAGGUCCAUCACGUCAUUUUUGGAUCUGA